rnacentral:rRNA from 1 species
GAUAAACCGUGACAAUAUGCUUAACACAUGCAAGUCAAUUUGAACUUCGUUUUGGGGUGGCGGACGGGGUGAGUAACGUGAAAAGACUUUCCUCACAGUUAGGGACAACUUUUUGAAAACAAAAGCUAAUCCCUGAUUUUAUGUUUUUGGGGCAUCCUAGAAUUAUGAAACGCUAUAUGCGCUGUGAGAGAGCUUUGUGUCCCAUUAGCUAGUUGGAGAGGGACCCGGCUCCCCCAAGGCGAUGAUGGGUACCCGCCCCUGAGAGGGUGAACGCCCACAAGGGGGACUGAGACCCGGCCCUUUUCCUCUACGGGGAGGCAGCAGUGGGGUAUUUUGGACAAUGGCCCCAAGAGUCUGAUCCAGCAUUUUCUGUGUGCACGAUGAAGUUUUUUCGGAAUGUAAAGUGCUUUCAGUUGGGAAGAAAAAAAUGAGGGGUCCAACAGAAGAAGUGACGGCUAAAUACGUCACCACAGCCGCGGUAAUACGUAUGUCACAAGCGUUAUCCGGAUUUAUUGCGCGUAAAGCGCGUCUAGGUGGUUAUAUGUGUCUGAUGUGAAAACGCAGGGCUCCUCUCUGUAUUGCGUUAGAAACUGUGUAACUAGAGUUCUAGAGAGGUAAGCGGAACUACAAGUGUAGAGGUGAAAUUCGUAGAUAUGUGUAGGAAUGGCGAUGGAGAAGCCAGCUUACUGGACAGAUACUGGCGCUGAAGCGCGAAAGCGUGGGUAGCACACAGG